UACGUAGGCAGCGAGCGUUGUUCGGAAUUACUGGGCGUAAAGAGUGUGUAGGCGGUGCUCCCAGUCUGUUGUGAAAUCUCCCGGCUUAACUGGGAGGGUGCAGCGGAAACUAGAGUGCUAGAGGGUGGGAGAGGUAAGCGGAAUUCCUGGUGUAGCGGUGAAAUGCGUAGAUAUCAGGAGGAACACCUGUGGUGUAGACAGCUUACUGGACCACAUCUGACGCUGAGACACGAAAGCGUGGGUAGCAAACAGG
rnacentral:rRNA from 1 species